rnacentral:piRNA from 1 species
ACCUUUGACCAUCCCGGUGAGACCAGGCCUGU